rnacentral:lncRNA from 1 species
ACACUAUGGUCUGGAAGAUGCAUCUUUUAGCAAAGCUCCUUUCUGAAGAGUCCCACAUUGUAACCCAGAACCAAGCUAACAUCAACUCACAGAGAUACCCCUGCCUCGGAGUGCUGGGAUUACAGGUAAAAAGGUGUGGACAUGUUGGAGAAUGCCUUCAAUCCAAGCAUUGGGUGAGUAGACAGGACUAUCUACCAGGCUCUCUAACCAAACCACCUACCUUAACCAGGGAGCACAGGUCCCAAUGACACCCUGCCUCAAAACCAAGAUGGCACUUAAGGAAUGAUGACACCUAAGGCCACA